GGUUGUUGCUGGCCCUCUCGGGGGCAUGUGCACACCCACCAUCCUCAUCUCUCCACCUGUGCACCUCUUGUAGACCUGGAUUGACUUUCCGAGGCAACUCGGUCGGGAAGAUUGCUGCGCUCUGUGAGCCAGCUUUCUUUGCAUGUCCAGGCCUAUGUUUUUCAUAUACCCCUAUAGAAUGUAACAGAAUGUAUCAUUGGGCCUUGUGCCUAUAAACCUUAUACAACUUUCAGCAACGGAUCUCUUGGCUCUCGCAUCGAUGAAGAACGCAGCGAAAUGCGAUAAGUAAUGUGAAUUGCAGAAUUCAGUGAAUCAUCGAAUCUUUGAACGCACCUUGCGCUCCUUGGUAUUCCGAGGAGCAUGCCUGUUUGAGUGUCAUUAAAUUCUCAACCUUAUUAACUUUUGUUGAUAAUGGAUUGGAUUGUGGGGGUUUCUUUUGCUGGCUUCUUCACAGAGAUCAGCUCCCCUUAAAUGCAUUAGCUGGUGCCCCGCGUGGACCAUCUAUUGGUGUGAUAAUUAUCUACGCCGUGGAUGUCUGCAAUUAUAUGGGUUUCGCACUGCUUCUAACCGUCUGUUCAUUCGGACAAUACAUGACAAUUUGACCUCAAAUCAGGUAGGACUACCCGCUGAACUUAAGCAUAUCAAUAAGCGGAGGAAAAGAAACUAACAAGGAUUCCCCUAGUAACUGCGAGUGAAGCGGGAAAAGCUCAAAUUUAAAAUCUGGCGGUCUCCGGCCGUCCGAGUUGUAAUCUAGAGAAGUGUUAUCCGCGCUGGA
rnacentral:rRNA from 1 species